rnacentral:rRNA from 1 species
GACGAACGCUGGCGGCGUGCUUAACACAUGCAAGUCGAACGGAAAGGCCCUGCUUUUGUGGGGUGCGCGAGUGGCGAACGGGUGAGUAACACGUGAGUAACCUGCCCUUGACUUUGGGAUAACUUCAGGAAACUGGGGCUAAUACCGGAUAGGAGCUCCUGCUGCAUGGUGGGGGUUGGAAAGUUUCGGCGGUUGGGGAUGGACUCGCGGCUAAUCAGCUUGUUGGUGGGGUAGUGGCUUACCAAGGCUUUGACGGGUAGCCGGCCUGAGAGGGUGACCGGCCACAUUGGGACUGAGAUACGGCCCAGACUCCUACGGGAGGCAGCAGUGGGGAAUAUUGCACAAUGGGCGGAAGCCUGAUGCAGCAACGCCGCGUGCGGGAUGACGGCCUUCGGGUUGUAAACCGCUUUCGCCUGUGACGAAGCGUGAGUGACGGUAAUGGGUAAAGAAGCACCGGCUAACUACGUG